rnacentral:rRNA from 1 species
CAGCCGCCGCGGUAACACGGAGGGUGCAAGCGUUAAUCGGAAUUACUGGGCGUAAAGCGUGCGCAGGCGGUUAUAUAAGACAGAUGUGAAAUCCCCGGGCUCAACCUGGGACCUGCAUUUGUGACUGUAUAGCUAGAGUACGGUAGAGGGGGAUGGAAUUCCGCGUGUAGCAGUGAAAUGCGUAGAUAUGCGGAGGAACACCGAUGGCGAAGGCAAUCCCCUGGACCUGUACUGACGCUCAUGCACGAAAGCGUGGGGAGCAAACAGGAUUAGAUACCCGCGUAGUCCCUGUCUCUUAUAC